rnacentral:lncRNA from 1 species
CACGCAUCUCAUUUGUCUUCAGUAGGUUCUUCCAUAAUCUCAUCAUUAUUGCUAUGGCCCUCUGAGGACAGCUGACUUGCAUUAAUCAGUCCAGACCCUCAUCGCUCACCAGAUUCUUUACACUUUUACCAUGCCCUGGGGCCUGCUAACUUACUUGAAAAAUUAAUAAACCUCCCCCCUCUUUUCUUACCUUAUUAAUGUCUGUCUUUGUAACCCAUUAUCCCCGCAUAUCAUCAGAGAUCACUGGAGGGUGUAGUGGUCACUGGCUAGCUCCCCUCCUUCUAUCCUAAAACUGGAAACUCCCCCCAUCUCCCCAGGGGCCAGAAGGAAAAUGGCCUUCGUGGGCUGGCAGGAUGUUUGUUUAGCAGCAUGAUGGCACCAUGGACGGAAGGCAGGAGAAUUCUUGGGCUUCUGCUCAAGGCCAUUAAGGCCCAUUAAGUUGUUCCCUCCUCCCCCACCACCUCCCCCCCUCUUUUGUGCACCCUAGUAAAUCUGACUCAUUAGCUUUAGAUGUUUUGAAAUACUGGUACAUUAAUCACUUGUGUUUGCACACUGUUUAUGUGGGUUGUUGGUCAUGGUCUGUAGUUAUACUGGCUGUCUCCCUUGCUUACUUAAAGGUACAAUCCAAUUGAAAAUAAAGAUUUUUGCAGGUUUGCUCAUUACACACAGUGUCGGCAGCUGGUGAGUGUCUUUUGCAAUUCAUCAGAGGCCUCCCAGACCACCUGCUCUCCGCAUCCUGCAAACAGCUGGCUCUGGAUUGAAAAAUUGAAGAUGAAGAUACAUCCAUAUUCCUACAUUUUACUUACUUUAAUCCCUCAAGGACUACUAAGAGCCUAGUUGUUCUGUGUGGCAGAGAACUAGGAGUAUCAGUUUGUCAGAAAUACAGACCCCCGAAACAGAAUACGCAUUUUAACAUUUAAGAUCCCCAAGGGACUUGUUGGUGUGUUAAGUGUUGACAAGCACCACUCUUAUAUACACUUGAUUCUUUUAGGUCAAAAGUAUCUACAGGGAUGGCCACAAGUCAUAUCAAUACUAAGGUGGUCAUAAGAAUCUGAAUAACAAAAUGCAAACCAAGCAAAUUCCU